rnacentral:rRNA from 1 species
AAGUCGUAACAAGGUCUCCGUAGGUGAACCUGCGGAAGGAUCAUUACUAAGUGACCGGGCCGGUAUAAACACCUCCCAUACUCACAACCCCUGGUUACCCGACCUCUGUUGCCUCCGCGGGCCUGUGGACCCAGCCUGCUGCCGGCUUCGGCCGGCUAGCGCCCGCCAGAGGACACAUCAAACUCUAGCGCAACUGUGCAGUCUGAGUAAACCUAAUUAAUAAAUUAAAACUUUCAACAACGGAUCUCUUGGUUCUGGCAUCGAUGAAGAACGCAGCGAAAUGCGAUAAGUAAUGUGAAUUGCAGAAUUCAGUGAAUCAUCGAAUCUUUGAACGCACAUUGCGCCCCCUGGUAUUCCGGAGGGCACACCUGUUCGAGCGUCAUUACAACACUCAAGCCCCGCUUGGUAUUGGGCAACGCCCUCCGCGCGCGCGCCUCAAACCCACCGGCGGCGCCGUCCGUCCCCUAAGCGCAGCGAAAACUAUUCCCUAAAGCGUGCUCGGAAAGCCACGCCGCAAAACAAACCCAUCCCGAAAACCAACCUCGGAUCAGGUAGGGAUACCCGCCAAACUUAACCAUAUCAAUAAGCGGAGGA